GUGGGGAAUCUUAGACAAUGGGGGAAACCCUGAUCUAGCCAUGCCGCGUGAUCGAUGAAGGCCUUCGGGUUGUAAAGAUCUUUCAGGUGGGAAGAUAAUGACGGUACCACCAGAAGAAGCCCCGGCUAACUCCGUGCCAGCAGCCGCGGUAAUACGGAGGGGGCUAGCGUUGUACGGAAUUACUGGGCGUAAAGCGCACGUAGGCGGAUUGGAAAGUUGGGGGUGAAAUCCCGGGGCUCAACCCCGGAACUGCCUUCAAAACUCCCAGUCUUGAAUUCGAGGGAGGUGAGUGGAAUUCCGAGUGUAGAGGUGAAAUUCGUAGAUAUUCGGAGGAACACCAGUGGCGAAGGCGGCUCACUGGCUCGAUACUGACGCUGAGGUGCGAAAGCGUGGGGAGCAAACAGGAUUAGAUACCCCUGUAGUCC
rnacentral:rRNA from 1 species